GCCUGUAAUGUCAUCUUUAUCAUUUCUGAUUGCGCUCAUUUAAGUCUCCUUUUUUUUGGGUUAGUGUAGUCAGCCAUCUGUCAAUUAUGGGUAUACUUUCAAAAAACCAACUUUCUUCCAUUGACUUUUUGUAAUGUUUUUGUCUUAAUCUCAUUCUUUUUCUGUCCUUUUGGAGUUUCCAUUGUUUUCAGGGUCUGAUGCUAGAGAGUGAAUGUGACCCUUUGGUGGUGCCACAAUAUUCAGAUUUUUCACACAUCAGAAUCCUCACACUGAUUCCUUCUCAUCUGGAGAGGCUGCCACUCAUUCUCUUUGGAUUUAUUUUCACUGGGAUGGGGUUUCUUUGCACAUUUUCCCCCAGCCCGCAGGGAGUGUGACUGUGGAGCAUGUUGGGAAGGGUCUUUUGGCUUUUCUCCAUGGUCUUGGGUGCUUCUGCAGCAGGGUUUGUGUUGGGCUGUGCAGUUCAAAUUGCAGGCCGGGGGCUGGUGCUUAAGGGGAAGAGCCAGCCUCUGCACCAGCAGGUGGGUAUGGAGCUGUCUGCUUCCUGUGAGGUGCUGUCUGUUGCUUCAGGUGAAGGGCUGGACCGUGGAGUGUCUGGAGCCCUGAGCUUCCUGUUCCACAGGGUGAGGAAACACAGCUGGGCAGAGCGGAAACCCCUGGCUUGCCCACAAAUACCCCAGUGACGAGUGCAGGCACCAGUUCUGAUGGGUGUGGCUGGGGCAACUCCUGGUGAAAUGCCCUGAGGUCUCUGUGGGGUGGGGGUGGAGGGGGGCGGGUGAAGGACCUACAUCCACUUCCAUUCUUCAAUAGGGAGGAACAUUAUCUGUUUCCCUAUCACACCCCUGCUCCAGGGCUCAUGAGUCUCUGUUCAGACACACACUGUUGUCCUUCCCCAGGCCACAGUGUGACUGAGAGCCGUGAGAAACACCUGCCUGCCACUCUCCGCAGGAAUCAUCCCAAGGCAGCUCAGCCUGGACUGCACAGACAGAUGUGAGAUGCGUCUCUGCUGAUUUGAGCCUGCCUGCAGCAUGGACCUGCAUCUUCGCUGAAGUAUUUCCAGGGCUGAAGAGACAACUGCCAAAGUAAGAACCCCACAAUGCUGUGCUGAUGGACAGGCUGAAGGAGGGAGGGAGACCUCAUGGGAGGCUGUGAAAAGGAAGAGGAAUCCUUAGCUCACCCUCUUCUGGAACGGCAGAUACAAGAAGGCACCAGUUCUAUUUGCUGCUACAUCCCAGCUCUCAGUGAGAUGAGGACAAACCAGACAGACAGCGGUUGGGGGUCAUUUCACCCCAUUACAGUCUGAAAUGUCUGCAGAGGGGUUAGGCCCACCCCCACCUCAGCCCUAAAGAAAUGAGAGCCAGACUCCUGGGGAGGGCAGUUCUGCUUCCUGUGUGGCUGCAGAUGACACAACCCCAUGACAAGAACGACCUAGCCACCAAGUGUCCACACCCUGUGUGUCUCUGUCCUGCCAGCACCAAGGGCUCAUCCAUCCACAGAGCAGGGCAGUGGGAGGAGACGCCAUGACACCCAUCCUCAUGGUCCUGAUCUAUGUCGGGCUGAGUCUGGGCCCCAGGACCCACGGGCAGGGAGGGACCCUCCCCAAGCCCACCCUUUGGGCUGAGCCAGGCUCUGUGAUCACCCAGGGGAGUCCCGUGACCCUCAGGUGUCAGGGGAACCUGGAAGCCAAGGAUUAUCAUCUAUAUAAAGAAGAGACAUCAGCAUUCUGGCUUACGUGGAUCCCACAGGAGCGUAGGAAGAAGGGCCAGUUCCCCAUCCAGUCCAUUGCCUGGCAACACGCAGGGCAGUAUCGCUGUCAGUAUCGCGGACGCACUCACUGGUCAGAGCUCAGUGACCCCCUGGAGCUGGUGGUAACAGGAGUCUAUAGCAAACCCACCCUCUCAGCCCUGCCCAGCCCUGUGGUGACCCCAGGAGGAAGCGUGACCCUCCAGUGUGGCUCACAGCUGGCAUUUGAUGGCUUCAUUCUGUGUAAGGAAGGAGAAGAUGAGCACCCACCAUGCCUGAACUCCCAGCCCCAUGCCCGUUGGCCAUCCCGGGCCGUCUUCUCCGUGGGCCCCGUGAGCCCGAGUCGCAGGUGGAUGUACAGGUGCUAUGGUUAUGACUCUCAAUCUCCCUAUCUGAGGUCUUUACCCAGUGAUGUCCUGGAGCUCCGGGUCCCAGGUGUUUCUGAGAAGCCAUCACUCUCAGUGCAGCCAGGUCCUGUUGUGGCCCCUGGGGAGACCCUGACCCUCCAGUGUGGCUCUGAUGUCGGCUACGACAGGUUCGCUCUGUACAAGGAUUGGGGACCUGACCUCCUCCAGCACCCUGGCCGGCAGCUCCAGGCUGGGCUCUCCCAGGCCAACUUCACCCUGAGCCCUGCGAGCCGCUCCCACGGGGGCCAGUACAGAUGCUCCGGUGCCCACAACCUCUCCUCCGAGUGGUCGGCUCCGAGUGACCCCCUGGACAUCCUGAUCAUAGGACAGAUCCCUGACAGACCUUCCCUCUCAGUGCAGCUGGGCCCCACGGUGGCCUCAGGAGAGAAUGUGACCCUGCUGUGUCAGUCACAGAGUCCAAUGGACACUUUCCUUCUGACCAAGGAGGGAGCAGCCCAUCUCCCCCAGCGUCUGAGAUCAAAGUACCAAGCUCUUAAGUACCUGGCUGAAUUCCCCAUGAGUCAUGUGACCUCAGCCCACGCGGGGACUUACAGAUGCUACGGCUCAUACAACUCUGACCCCUACCUGCUGUCUCACCCCAGUGAGCCCCUGGAGCUCCUGGUCUCAGGACCCUCCAGGGGACCCAGCCCCCCACCCACUGAUCCCACCCCUACAUCUGGUCUGGGAAGGAACCUGGGGGUUGUGACUGGGGUCUCAGUGGCCUUCAUCCUGCUGCUCUUCCUCCUCCUCCUCCUCUUCCUCGUCCUCCGACAUCAGCGUCAGGGCAAACGCUGGACAUCAGCCCAGAGAGAGGCUGAUUUCCAACAUUCUGCAGGGGCUGUGGAGCCAGAACCCACAGGCAGAGGCCUGCAGAGGAGGUCCAGCCCAGCUGCCGACACCCAAGAAGAAACCCUCUAUGCUGCCGUGAAGGAGACACAGCCUGAGGACGAGGUGGAGCUGGACACUCAGAGCCCAUAUGAUGAAGACCCCCAGGCAGAGACCUAUGCUGAAGUGAAACAUUCCAGACCUAAGAGAGAAAUGGCCUCCCCUGCUUCCCCACUGUCCAGGAAAUUCCUGGACACAAAGUACAAACAGGCAGAAGAGGACAGGCAGAUGGACAGUCAGGCUGCUGCAUCUGAAGCCCCCCAGGAUGUGACCUACGCCCAGCUGGACACCUUGACCCUCAGACAGAAGGCAACUGAGUCCUCUUCAUUCCAGGAAGGGGCCCCUCCAGCUGAGCCCAGUGUCUAUGCCACUCUGGCCAUCCACUAGCCCAGGGCGUACCCAGACCCCACACUCAACAGAAGGAGACUCAGGGACUCCAGAAGCUCUCUGAUUCCACCCAGCCCAGCUCCCGGGAACCACCUUCCACUCUACUUCCAUGAGUUGGCCUGGCGCAUUCCACACAUAAGUGAGAUCAUGCAGUCUUAACCUGGUCUGGAAAAGUACCACAAUUGACGCCUUCGCAUGACCCAGGCACAACUGGCCCCCAAAACCACUCAGGAGGAGGUUCAUGACAAUAGGCCGAAAAUGAGGAAGCUGAAGCUCAGAGAUGGGACUUACUGCCUAAGGUCAUGCAGGCAGAGAUGAAGCCCAACUUGAAUUUCACAGCCAGAUGUGAGAUACAUCUCUACUUAUACAAGUCUGCCUGCAGCAUGGACCUGCAACUUCCCCGAAGCAUCUCCAGGGCUGGAGAGAUGACUGCCUUGGUAAGGAUCCCACGAU